AAUACGUUCCCGGGCCUUGUACACACCGCCCGUCAAGUCACGAAAGUUGGUAACACCCGAAGCCGGUGGCCUAACCCCUUGUGGGGGGAGCCGUCGAAGGUGGGACUGGCGAUUGGGACU
rnacentral:rRNA from 1 species